AGCUUCAGGCUGCAGGGGAUGCAGGGGUGGGGGGCGGUGGGGGGGGGGGUGUAGAGUCCAGCUUUCCCUCAGCCCCAUCUAGUGUCCAGAGGCCAGAUCCAUGAGCAGAAGGCCAUUGUAGGAGUUCCCAUCUUGGCUUAGUGGUUAAUGAAUCAGACUAGGGACCAUGAGGUUGUGGGUUCGAUCUCUGGCCUCGCUCAGUGGGUUAAGGAUCCAGCGUUGCUCUUAGCUGUGGUGUGUAGGUUGCAGACGCGCCUCAGAUCCCGCGUUGCUGUGGCUCUGGCAUAGGCCAGCAGCUGCAGCUCCGAUUAGACCCCUAGCCUGGGAACCUCCAUAUGCCACUGGUGCGGCCCUAAAAGGACAAAAAAAAAAAAAAAUAAGUCCAUUGUAGUUUCCACUGUGGUUCCUCUGUGGUCUGUUUCACAAGAAUGGAGGCUGGGACACCAUUGGUUCAGUCCUCAGUGAGCAUCUUCUGGGAACUUGCCAGCCCACGUGCACAAGAUCAAGGUGCCCUCACUUUCACCCGGAUGCAAGAGUGCACUGCAGGAGGGCCACACGGGGACCUAGCUGCACACUCUGAACUGGGUUCCUCUUGGACACCAGGCAUCCUUCUUAGAACUGAGACCUCAACAGUGAACGAGGUGGGAGUGAGAGCUCCAGCAGAAGAAGGCAGGAUACUCCGGUUGACUCAGUCUGCCCCCCACCUAUUCCCAGCCCUGAUGGCCUCAGCCUGCAGCCUGCACUGCCAAAGGCUGAGUAGGUCUCCUGACCCUUCCCCUUCCAGCGUGGUCUCUGCCUGAAGGGCCGCAGGCUGUGGGCAGCUCCCAGCCUCUUCUGUGCCCUUGUGUGGAUGUCACAGCCAGAGCCCUGCCCCUGGAGUCUCUGCCUGGCCCACUCAGCUCGUCUGUAAGAGGUGAGCAUGGAGGAUGUGCUCUCCAGCAUGUUGUCCUCAGCCCCUCACCUGCCUUCUCUACAUCGCACUCAGAUUAGGCCUUUUAUGUCUGAUGGCAUCCACUCUGAGUCCUCCAAGGCUGGACUUCCAUCUCCAUCAUCAUGAUGCACUCGGCACCUAAUGAGGAUACCAGCUUGACACAAGCAUGUGUGCGUGCAUGCCUGCACACACACACACACACACACACAGGAGUCAUCACACACAUGGGACAUUUCACACUUGUCAGUACGGGUCAUUGGAGAGAGGGAAUUUCUGAGGAAUGGUUGAACCACAGGAAAAGGCCAUUAAAAUUGAAAAGUCAUCCUGGGAGGUCUGCCCUGGGUGCUUGGAUGUGGAAUUCUUCUCUUCUGAAUUCAGAAAUUCUCAGGUCCCCCUUUUAAUCUCAGGCUGAAUUCUCCCGGUACAGACCCACCAGAAGGCAGAAUGCAGUUGCCAGUGACAACCUUGGACAUUGGUGAGUGGGCAGGGACCCCAAGAGGUUUGAACCUCCCAAUCUCUCUUGUCCUUUGUCUCCAGGGCAUGUCCAGGCUGCUGUGGUCACCUGUACCAUUUUUCAAGGGGUUGCAAAAGCUGAACUCAACACAGGGCCUUAGUCAGUUUUUUAAAAUUAAAGUAUAAUUGAUUUACAAUGUUUCUUCAAUAUCUGUUGAAUAGCAAAAUAACUUAGUCACACUCUGCGCUGUACAGGAGGGUCCUAUUGCCCAUCCAUUCCAAACAUAAGAGUUUGCAUUAGUCAAUUUGGGUGUAACCUACUGAAGUCAACAUGACCUUGGCCUUUUUUCAUGGAUGUAGGUAAGGCACAUUAAAUUUUUUACUUUGCAAAUGAAAACAGGAAUAGAUUAACAGAA
rnacentral:lncRNA from 1 species